rnacentral:rRNA from 1 species
UACAGAGGUCCCGAGCGUUGUUCGGAUUCACUGGGCGUAAAGGGUGCGUGGGCGGUCGGGUAAGUCUGAUGUGAAAUCUCCAAGCUUAACUUGGAAAAGGCAUCGGAUACUAUUCGGCUUGAGGAAUGGAGGGGAGACUGGAAUUCUCGGUGUAGCAGUGAAAUGCGUAGAUAUCGAGAGGAACACCAGUGGCGAAGGCGAGUCUCUGGACAUUUCCUGACGCUGAGGCACGAAAGCCAGGGGAGCAAACAGG